CUGCUAAUUGUGCAGCUUCUCUUUUAGGAUUGGCUGCUGUUCCUAUCCGUAAUACAAUUAAAACAAACGGGGGAAAGCCCCCCCCCCCUUUCCGGCACAGACAGAGGUUAAUGCGAGUAUUUAACAAUGCUUUGCUGUCCUUUGGUGUUCACACUUUUCCCUACAUCAGACCAGUUUCUCCUUGACUUAGCCCGCCCAGUUAGAAGCCACCUUUGGGUCAACCCAAUGGGGUCCACAGCUUCAUGCCGGCCAUCGAGUGCAGCUUGACUGAGUUAAAACCGGAGCUAAAACCGGAGUGAGUGUGGAGCGUUUGGGAGUGCAUGUCUGAGGGAGACCUAAGGAGGGCGCACCUCAGCAGAGUCUCUCGUCUCCCCUUCCUUGAGGGCGCCCAAAGGUACCAACAGGAGUCUGUCCUCAAGGUGCAGGUCAAGGCGCAUCCCCAGGACACUCCUUGGCUUUGGGACACUCCUCUUGGGCCUUUAAACGAUGGAUUAGCGAGUUUCAGGCACUGGAGAGGAUCUGGGCAGGCUAAAAUCUGUGGCAGAAAGACUGUACGUCUUCCCAGUCAACCUGCUCCUACAUUCUCCAUAGCCACACACAUCGCCUGUUUCUCUGUCCUGCCUUCUAAUUUCCCUCCACCCAUAGUCCUUUAGUUAAUCAGAAAAAGCCCUCCAAAGUUGAUUCCAUCUUCAUUCAAUCUCAGACCUUCAAGUAUUGCUAAAAAUACAGAGGAGGCUCAUUAAAGUUUCUCUUCGUGAAUUUUUUGGAGGGAGGGGAGGGGAAUGCCUGGUUUGCUGUGUGCAUCGAGCAAGAUCUAUGCAGAAUGCCUCUUCGGGGGACUGGCAUGGCAUCACCGGGGAUACCAAGGGUCGGAACAGAUAAUGCCUCUGUGACUCAGAUCCUCCUCCUCCUUUGGGUUGAAAUUAUGAAGUGCAUCAAGACCAAGGAGACCCACGGGGUGAUUCAUGACGUUCCACUGUGCUCAAGUCGAAGACAUAAUGGAAGCUUGAUCAUCUCUUCUUUACCAACCUUACCUACUUUGUCCAGUUUUAGGUCUUGUUUUAACACCCACUCUGUCCUGUAUUUUGUUUUAUUUUUACUGAUGUGCCUAAUAAAGGCCAGCUGAAGUUGUGGCCCCUUCCACGCAUGCAGAAUAAUGCACUUUCAAUCUAUUUUUACACUGUGCGGAAUAGCAAAAUAUGCUUGCAUACAGUUGUGAAAGUGGAUUGAGAAUCCAUUAUUCUGCAUGGGUGGAAGGGGCAUGAGCUAUGCGUGUAGGUUUGGGCUCUUGCGGAUCCGUGCUGUCUGCUAGGUUGUUUGAUGUCAAAGGGAAACCACAGAGAUUCCAUUUAGAUUGCCCUGCCUCCACAGGAAUAGGAUUUUCUGCACAGGGAUCUUAUGAGAUCACUCUGUUGUCCCACAUACUCAUUCAUGUGCAGUUUCCCGAGGAAACAGGUGAAUUUUGGAAGAAGACAAUAACCCUGUAGCACUUUACUCAGAGAUUAGAAAUCCAAUUGUAUUAACGGAUGGUUUCCCCACCUAAGGCUCCGAUUCAAAACGCAUUCAGAUGCCAUUUACAAUUCAUGGAACUCUUGAGUGUGAAUGAGCAUACACUUUUAGGAUCGAGCUGCUUGGUCCAGUGGUGUUUAACUGGAAAUAAUAGGAUGGAGAGCAAGUGCUUAAUUUUAACUGGGCUGGGAACUGUGCCGGUCGGUUUUUAUAGGAUUGCUUUCAAUAUGGUAACAGAAUAAAGAAUUGCAAGAUGGAAUCCCAGAAUUCCACUUUCUCCA